GAAUUUUCCGCAAUGGGCGAAAGCCUGACGGAGCAAUACCGCGUGAGGGAUGACGGCCUAUGGGUUGUAAACCUCUUUUUUCAGGGAGGAAUAACUGACGUGUACCUGAAGAAUAAGCAUCGGCUAACUCCGUGCCAGCAGCCGCGGUAAGACGGGGGAUGCAAGUGUUAUCCGGAAUCACUGGGCGUAAAGCGUCUGUAGGUGGUCAAAUAAGUCAACUGUUAAAUCUUGAGGCUUAACCUCAAAAUCGCAGUCGAAACUAUUAGACUAGAGUAUAGUAGGGGUAAAGGGAAUUUCCAGUGGAGCGGUGAAAUGCGUAGAGAUUGGAAAGAACACCGAUGGCGAAGGCACUUUACUGGGCUAUUACUAACACUGAGAGACGAAAGCUAGGGUAGCAAAUGGGAUUAGAUACCCCAGUAGUC
rnacentral:rRNA from 1 species